GAAGUCUGACGGAGCAACGCCGCGUGAGUGAUGAAGGUUUUCGGAUCGUAAAACUCUGUUGUUAGGGAAGAACAAGUAUCGUUCGAAUAGGGCGGUACCUUGACGGUACCUAACCAGAAAGCCACGGCUAACUACGUGCCAGCAGCCGCGGUAAUACGUAGGUGGCAAGCGUUGUCCGGAAUUAUUGGGCGUAAAGCGCGCGCAGGCGGUUUCUUAAGUCUGAUGUGAAAGCCCACGGCUCAACCGUGGAGGGUCAUUGGAAACUGGGAGACUUGAGUGCAGAAGAGAAGAGCGGAAUUCCACGUGUAGCGGUGAAAUGCGUAGAGAUGUGGAGGAACACCAGUGGCGAAGGCGGCUCUUUGGUCUGUAACUGACGCUGAGGCGCGAAAGCGUGGGGAGCGAACAGGAUUAGAUACCCUGGUAGUCCACGCCGUAAACGAUGAGUGCUAAGUGUUAGAGGGUUUCCGCCCUUUAGUGCUGCAGCUAACGCAUUAAGCACUCCGCCUGGGGAGUACGGCCGCAAGGCUGAAACUCAAAGGAAUUGACGGGGGCCCGCACAAGCGGUGGAGCAUGUGGUUUAAUUCGAAGCAACGCGAAGAACCUUACCAGGUCUUGACAUCCUCUUGCCCUCCCUAGAGAUAGGGAUUUCCCUUCGGGGACAAGAGUGACAGGUGGUGCAUGGUUGUCGUCAGCUCGUGUCGUGAGAUGUUGGGUUAAGUCCCGCAACGAGCGCAACCCUUGACCUUAGUUGCCAGCAUUUAGUUGGGCACUCUAAGGUGACUGCCGGUGACAAACCGGAGGAAGGUGGGGAUGACGUCAAAUCAUCAUGCCCCUUAUGACCUGGGCUACACACGUGCUACAAUGGAUGGUACA
rnacentral:rRNA from 1 species